rnacentral:sRNA from 1 species
AAGAACGGAAUCACGCUGGACGCGGAGA